GGAAAAAGAACCCCGGAGACCUGGGUCCUGGUUGGGCUGGUGGAUGAGGAAACUAGGGCACAGGGAAAGGUGAAUGUCUUGUGGAGAUCCCAUGGCAGAAGGGGCAGAGGUGUGAUUCAAACCAACAGACUGAUUCUAGGGCCCCAUCUUUACCUCCACACUCUUACUUUCCCAGACGAAUUAUCUGAGAAAUAUGUCAUCUCCAGCUUGGAUUAAGAAAUG